rnacentral:rRNA from 1 species
GAUAGAGGCCUACCAUGGUGGUAACGGGUAACGGGGUGUUAGGGCACGACACCGGAGAGGGAGCCUGAGAAACGGCUACCACAUCCAAGGAUGGCAGCAGGCGCGCAAAUUACCCAAUCCCGACACGGGGAGGUAGUGACAAUAAAUAACAAUACGGGGUUCUUUAGGAUCUCGUAAUUGGAAUGAGUACAAUUUAAAUCUCUUAACGAGGAACAAUUGGAGGGCAAGUCUGGUGCCAGCAGCCGCGGUAAUUCCAGCUCCAAUAGCGUAUAUUAAAGUUGUUGCAGUUAAAAAGCUCGUAGUUGAAUUUCGGGGUUAGUAGGUUGGUCAUGCCUCUGGUAUGUACUGGUCUCACUGAUUCCUCCUUCCUUAUGAACCGUAAUGCCAUUAAUUUGGUGUUGCGGGGAAUUUGGACUGUUACUUUGAAAAAAUUAGAGUGUUUAAAGCAAGCUAACGCUUGAAUACAUUAGCAUGGAAUAAUGAAAUAGGACGUUCGAUCUUAUUUUGUUGGUUUCCAGGAUUGACGUAAUGAUUAAUAGGGAUAGUUGGGGCAUUAGUAUUCAAUUGUCAGAGGUGAAAUUCUUGGAUUUAUUGAAGACUAACUACUGCGAAAGCAUUUGCCAAGGAUGUUUUCAUUAAUCAAGAACGAAAGUUAGGGGAUCGAAGACGAUCAGAUACCGUCGUAGUCUUAACCAUAAACUAUGCCGACUAGGGAUCGGAUGA